GACAGAGGUCCCGAGCGUUAGGCGGAAUCACUGGGCUUAAAGCGUGUGUAGGCGGAUCGUUAAGUACCUUGUGAAAUCCCACGGCUUAACCGUGGAACGGCUUGGUAUACUGGCGGUCUUGAGCCACUUAGGGGCUACCGGAACAAAUGGUGGAGCGGUGAAAUGCGUAGAUAUCAUUAGGAACUCCGGUGGCGAAGGCGGCUCGCUGGAUCUUUUCUGACGCUGAGGCGCGAAAGCUAGGGGAGCAAACGGG
rnacentral:rRNA from 1 species